UACGUAGGGUGCGAGCGUUAAUCGGAAUUACUGGGCGUAAAGCGUGCGCAGGCGGUUGGUUAAGUCUGAUGUGAAAGCCCCGGGCUCAACUUGGGAAUGGCAUUGGAAACUGGCUGGCUAGAGUGCGGCAGAGGGGGGUGGAAUUCCGCGUGUAGCAGUGAAAUGCGUAGAGAUGCGGAGGAACACCGAUGGCGAAGGCAGCCCCCUGGGCUGACACUGACGCUCAGGCACGAAAGCGUGGGGAGCAAACAGG
rnacentral:rRNA from 1 species